UGCAAGUCGAACGAUGAAGCCCUUCGGGGUGGAUUAGUGGCGAACGGGUGAGUAACACGUGGGCAAUCUGCCCUUCACUCUGGGACAAGCCCUGGAAACGGGGUCUAAUACCGGAUAACACUCUGUCCCGCAUGGGACGGGGUUAAAAGCUCCGGCGGUGAAGGAUGAGCCCGCGGCCUAUCAGCUUGUUGGUGGGGUAAUGGCCUACCAAGGCGACGACGGGUAGCCGGCCUGAGAGGGCGACCGGCCACACUGGGACUGAGACACGGCCCAGACUCCUACGGGAGGCAGCAGUGGGGAAUAUUGCACAAUGGGCGAAAGCCUGAUGCAGCGACGCCGCGUGAGGGAUGACGGCCUUCGGGUUGUAAACCUCUUUCAGCAGGGAAGAAGCGAAAGUGACGGUACCUGCAGAAGAAGCGCCGGCUAACUACGUGCCAGCAGCCGCGGUAAUACGUAGGGCGCAAGCGUUGUCCGGAAUUAUUGGGCGUAAAGAGCUCGUAGGCGGCUUGUCACGUCGGAUGUGAAAGCCCGGGGCUUAACCCCGGGUCUGCAUUCGAUACGGGCUAGCUAGAGUGUGGUAGGGGAGAUCGGAAUUCCUGGUGUAGCGGUGAAAUGCGCAGAUAUCAGGAGGAACACCGGUGGCGAAGGCGGAUCUCUGGGCCAUUACUGACGCUGAGGAGCGAAAGCGUGGGGAGCG
rnacentral:rRNA from 1 species